rnacentral:rRNA from 1 species
AUUGAACGCUGGCGGCAUGCCUUACACAUGCAAGUCGAACGGCAGCACGGGUGCUUGCACCUGGUGGCGAGUGGCGAACGGGUGAGUAAUACAUCGGAACAUGUCCUGUAGUGGGGGAUAGCCCGGCGAAAGCCGGAUUAAUACCGCAUACGAUCUACGGAUGAAAGCGGGGGCCCUUCGGGCCUCGCGCUAUAGGGUUGGCCGAUGGCUGAUUAGCUAGUUGGUGGGGUAAAGGCCUACCAAGGCGACGAUCAGUAUCUGGUCUGAGAGGACGACCAGCCACACUGGGACUGAGACACGGCCCAGACUCCUACGGGAGGCAGCAGUGGGGAAUUUUGGACAAUGGGCGAAAGCCUGAUCCAGCAAUGCCGCGUGUGUGAAGAAGGCCUUCGGGUUGUAAAGCACUGUUGUCCGGAAAGAAAUCCUUGGCCCUAAUACGGUCGGGGGAUGACGGUACCGGAAGAAUAAGCACCGGCUAACUACGUG